GUUUUAUACUUUUAUGCUAUAGU
rnacentral:snRNA from 1 species